ACCUAUCUUUACUUGCGCCAAUUCUAGUAGCUACUGCGCGAAUUUUAAUACAUGUAUUAAAAUUCGCGCAGUAGCUACUAGAAUUGGCGCAAGUAAAGAUAAAGCGU